rnacentral:tRNA from 1 species
GUUUUUGUGGCUCAGUGGUAGAGCACCCACCUAGCACGUGCGAGGCACUGGGUUCGAUCCUCAGCAACACA